rnacentral:rRNA from 1 species
GACGAACGCUGGCGGCGUGCUUAACACAUGCAAGUCGAACGGAAAGGCCCUGCUUUUGUGGGGUGCUCGAGUGGCGAACGGGUGAGUAACACGAGAGUAACCUGCCCUUGACUUUGGGAUAACUUCAGGAAACUGGGGCUAAUACCGGAUAGGAGCUCCUGCUGCAUGGUGGGGGUUGGAAAGUUUCGGCGGGUGGGGAUGGACUCGCGGCUUAUCAGCUUGUUGGUGGGGUAGUGGCUUACCAAGGCUUUGACGGGUAGCCGGCCUGAGAGGGUGACCGGCCACAUUGGGACUGAGAUACGGCCCAGACUCCUACGGGAGGCAGCAGUGGGGAAUAUUGCACAAUGGGCGGAAGCCUGAUGCAGCAACGCCGCGUGCGGGAUGACGGCCUUCGGGUUGUAAACCGCUUUCGCCUGUGACGAAGCGUGAGUGACGGUAAUGGGUAAAGAAGCACCGGCUAACUACGUG